CUUUCUAAAAGGCUCAUUACAACAGGGACUAUCUUGAAGCUAUCUCUGGGAACUUGAGCACUAACACCACUGGGAUGAAAUGCAGAACUCUCCGGGAGAAAGAUUAAUGGGAGCUGUUAUCUCUAGUCAAGGGAGUCCACAGAUAUCUGUGCCAUCAUUGUUUCAAAUAUUUCUUAUGUUCAUCGCUGGUAGUCCGACGUGGUAUGUAGCAUAUGGAGUGGGUGAGUGUGGAAAACAACGGUGCAUUUGCCAGUGGCUUGGAGGUGGAGGCAGGAAAGAAGGGACAGGGACAAAGCCAAGGUGUGAUGUGUGUUGAUCUACUACAGCUUCAGGGGAUGCUACGUUUGGCCUACUAAUCGGGUAUCCCACAGAUGAUUUGGUCAUCUGUAGAAAGAAGUUUAGAAGACGGAAAAGUGACAGUAUAGAUGACUGAAUAUACAUUUUCCCAUUAGGAUCAUAUAUGAAGAAUAUUUUUAAAUCAUCAGAUAAGAAAUGUUUCCUGAGCAGUCGUAAUCAGGCCAGCCUUACUAUUAGAAAAAGUAACAUAGUCUGCCACAGAAAGCAAAUUUGGGGAUAUAACUAAAUUUGAGGAUAUCAACAUGUUAUCAAUUAUUUAGUGUAUUAUUAUAUUGUUAUCACCAAGGGAGGUGCCAUUUGAUUUUCUCCCUCAGGUAGCACCAUCUCUUGAUUUAUCUCCUGCAGUGAGAUUAAGCAACCUUGUUUUUGUUAAAAAUGAGAUAGAUAAACUUGACAGAUAUAUGUAUAAUCUUUUGCUUCAGCAGUGAUAGGUACUCAGUAACCCUGGAACACAAUCUAAUCAAUACACCAAGUCACUGAUGGAAAUGGAAAGUCAAGUAUGCACUAACUCUUUUUCAAUGAAAUCAGUGGGACUUCAAAAUGCUCAACUUUGACUGACCUAUACUGAAUGUCAGCAGUAAUCUUUUAAUCUUUAAGGUUGUUUUAAUAUCUCCUUAGUCUGUACAUUAAAGUACCAACACAAUUAUUGCACAUUAGAAAAUGCAUAUUACAUACUAGCGUUUCUGUAUAUCAGUUACGAUCUGAGGAGACAAAUAUGUUAAAACAAUAUCAAGGUUUUUCAUUCUCUUAACUGAUAAAAUGGCAGCUAUUUCCUAUCAUUGCUGAAUGCUAAAUACAUACAACAUUGUAGUCAGACAUCCAGUAACUUGGUCUGUACCUGAAAGGACAAUAAAUUUGGUCUUUGGCAUGCA